UACGUAAGAGGCAAGCGUUGUCCGGAAUACUGGGCGUAAAGCGCGUGUAGGUGGUGGGACAAGUCUGCUGUGAAAGUGCCUGGCUUACCGGGCGAGGUCGGCGGAAACUGUCCGACUCGAGGACGGUAGAGGGGGUGGAAUUCCCGGUGUAGUGGUGAAAUGCGUAGAGAUCGGGAGGAACACCUGUGGCGAAGGCGGCCCCCUGGGCCGGCCCUGACACUGAGACGCGAAGGCGUGGGGAGCGAACGGGG
rnacentral:rRNA from 1 species